rnacentral:rRNA from 1 species
AACGAACGCUGGCGGCAUGCCUAACACAUGCAAGUCGAACGAGACCUUCGGGUCUAGUGGCGCACGGGUGCGUAACGCGUGGGAACCUGCCCUUAGGUUCGGAAUAACUCCCCGAAAGGGGUGCUAAUACCGGAUAAUGUCUUCGGACCAAAGAUUUAUCGCCUUUGGAUGGGCCCGCGUUGGAUUAGCUAGUUGGUAGGGUAAAAGCCUACCAAGGCGACGAUCCAUAGCUGGUCUGAGAGGAUGAUCAGCCACACUGGGACUGAGACACGGCCCAGACUCCUACGGGAGGCAGCAGUGGGGAAUAUUGGACAAUGGGCGAAAGCCUGAUCCAGCAAUGCCGCGUGAGUGAUGAAGGCCUUAGGGUUGUAAAGCUCUUUUACCCGGGAUGAUAAUGUCAGUACCGGGAGAAUAAGCUCCGGCUAACUCCGUG